rnacentral:rRNA from 1 species
UACGUAGGGGGCAAGCGUUAUCCGGAAUUACUGGGUGUAAAGGGAGCGUAGACGGUGAUGUAAGUCUGGAGUGAAAGGCGGGGGCCCAACCCCCGGACUGCUCUGGAAACUAUAUGACUGGAGUGCAGGAGAGGUGAGCGGAAUUCCUAGUGUAGCGGUGAAAUGCGUAGAUAUUAGGAAGAACACCGGUGGCGAAGGCGGCUUUCUGGACAGAAACUGACAUUGAGGCACGAAAGUGUGGGGAGCAAACAGG